CACCGCGGUUAUACGAGAGGCCCAAGUUGAUAGACCCGGCGUAAAGAGUGGUUAAGGAAAAUUUAAACUAAAGCCGAACAUCUUCAAUACUGUUAUACGCACCCGAAGAUAAGAAGCCCAACUACGAAAGUGGCUUUACAUCCAACCCUGAACCCACGAAAGCUAUGACA
rnacentral:rRNA from 1 species